rnacentral:rRNA from 1 species
GGUUAAGCGACUAAGCGUACACGGUGGAUGCCCUGGCAGUCAGAGGCGAUGAAGGACGUGCUAAUCUGCGAUAAGCGCCGGUAAGGUGAUAUGAACCGUUAUAACCGGCGAUUUCCGAAUGGGGAAACCCAGUGUGACUCGUCACACUAUCAUUAACUGAAUCCAUAGGUUAAUGAGGCGAACCGGGGGAACUGAAACAUCUAAGUACCCCGAGGAAAAGAAAUCAACCGAGAUUCCCCCAGUAGCGGCGAGCGAACGGGGAGGAGCCCAGAGCCUGAAUCAGCAUGUGUGUUAGUGGAAGCGUCUGGAAAGGCGCGCGAUACAGGGUGACAGCCCCGUACACAAAAGCGCAUGUGCUGUGAGCUCGAUGAGUAGGGCGGGACACGUGGUAUCCUGUCUGAAUAUGGGGGGACCAUCCUCCAAGGCUAAAUACUCCUGACUGACCGAUAGUGAACCAGUACCGUGAGGGAAAGGCGAAAAGAACCCCGGCGAGGGGAGUGAAAAAGAACCUGAAACCGUGUACGUACAAGCAGUGGGAGCACCCUUUGGGGUGUGACUGCGUACCUUUUGUAUAAUGGGUCAGCGACUUAUAUUCUGUAGCAAGGUUAACCGAAUAGGGGAGCCGGAGGGAAACCGAGUCUUAAUUGGGCGUUAAGUUGCAGGGUAUAGACCCGAAACCCGGUGAUCUAGCCAUGGGCAGGUUGAAGGUUGGGUAACACUAACUGGAGGACCGAACCGACUAAUGUUGAAAAAUUAGCGGAUGACCUGUGGCUGGGGGUGAAAGGCCAAUCAAACCGGGAGAUAGCUGGUUCUCCCCGAAAGCUAUUUAGGUAGCGCCUCGUGAAUUCAUCUCCGGGGGUAGAGCACUGUUUCGGCUAGGGGGCCAUCCCGGCUUACCAACCCGAUGCAAACUGCGAAUACCGGAGAAUGUUAUCACGGGAGACACACGGCGGGUGCUAACGUCCGUCGUGAAGAGGGAAACAACCCAGACCGCCAGCUAAGGUCCCAAAGUCAUGGUUAAGUGGGAAACGAUGUGGGAAGGCCCAGACAGCCAGGAUGUUGGCUUAGAAGCAGCCAUCAUUUAAAGAAAGCGUAAUAGCUCACUGGUCGAGUCGGCCUGCGCGGAAGAUGUAACGGGGCUAAACCAUGCACCGAAGCUGCGGCAGCGACGCUGAUGCGUUGUUGGGUAGGGGAGCGUUCUGUAAGCCUGUGAAGGUGGCCUGUGAGGGUUGCUGGAGGUAUCAGAAGUGCGAAUGCUGACAUAAGUAACGAUAAAGCGGGUGAAAAGCCCGCUCGCCGGAAGACCAAGGGUUCCUGUCCAACGUUAAUCGGGGCAGGGUGAGUCGACCCCUAAGGCGAGGCCGAAAGGCGUAGUCGAUGGGAAACGGGUUAAUAUUCCCGUACUUGGUGUUACUGCGAAGGGGGGACGGAGAAGGCUAUGUUGGCCGGGCGACGGUUGUCCCGGUUUAAGCGUGUAGGUGUGUGUUCCAGGUAAAUCCGGUUCACUUUAACACUGAGGCGUGAUGACGAGGCACUACGGUGCUGAAGCAACAAAUGCCCUGCUUCCAGGAAAAGCCUCUAAGCAUCAGGUAACAUCAAAUCGUACCCCAAACCGACACAGGUGGUCAGGUAGAGAAUACCAAGGCGCUUGAGAGAACUCGGGUGAAGGAACUAGGCAAAAUGGUGCCGUAACU